GAUGAACGCUGGCGGCGUGCCUAAUACAUGCAAGUCGAGCGAACGGACGAGAAGCUUGCUUCUCUGAUGUUAGCGGCGGACGGGUGAGUAACACGUGGAUAACCUACCUAUAAGACUGGGAUAACUUCGGGAAACCGGAGCUAAUACCGGAUAAUAUUUUGAACCGCAUGGUUCAAAAGUGAAAGACGGUCUUGCUGUCACUUAUAGAUGGAUCCGCGCUGCAUUAGCUAGUUGGUAAGGUAACGGCUUACCAAGGCAACGAUGCAUAGUCGACCUGAGAGGGUGAUCGGCCCCUCGGGAGCUGGGACGCGCUCCAGCCCCCGACGUGAGGCAGCAGUAGGGAAUCUUCCGCAAGGGGCGAAAGCCUGACGGAGCAACUCCGCGUGAGUGAUGAAGGUCUUCGGCUCGUAAAACUCUGUUAUUAGGGAAGAACAUAUGUGUAAGUAACUGUGCACAUCUUGACGGUACCUAAGCAGAAAGCCACGCCUAACUACGU
rnacentral:rRNA from 1 species